rnacentral:rRNA from 1 species
GACGAACGCUGGCGGCGUGCUUAACACAUGCAAGUCGAACGGAAAGGCCCUGCUUUUGUGGGUUGCUCGAGUGGCGAACGGGUGAGUAACACGUGAGUAACCUGCCCUUGCCUUUGGGAUAACUUCAGGAAACUGGGGCUAAUACCGGAAAGGAGCUCCUGCUGCAUGGUGGGGGUUGGAAAGUUUCGGCGGUUGGGGAUGGACUCGCGGCUUAUCAGCUUGUUGGUGGGGUAGUGGCUUACCAAGGCUUUGACGGGUAGCCGGCCUGAGAGGGUGACCGGCCACAUUGGGACUGAGAUACGGCCCAGACUCCUACGGGAGGCAGCAGUGGGGAAUAUUGCACAAUGGGCGGAAGCCUGAUGCAGCAACGCCGCGUGCGGGAUGACGGCCUUCGGGUUGUAAACCGCUUUCGCCUGUGACGAAGCGUGAGUGACGGUAAUGGGUAAAGAAGCACCGGCUAACUACGUG